rnacentral:rRNA from 1 species
ACGGAGGGGGCUAGCGUUGUUCGGAAUUACUGGGCGUAAAGCGCGCGUAGGCGGUUCGGUAAGUUAGGUGUGAAAGCCCGGGGCUCAACCCCGGAACUGCACUUAAAACUGCUGAGCUAGAGGCCGAGAGAGGUGAGUGGAAUUCCCAGUGUAGAGGUGAAAUUCGUAGAUAUUGGGAAGAACACCAGUGGCGAAGGCGGCUCACUGGCUCGGAUCUGACGCUGAGGUGCGAAAGCGUGGGGAGCAAACAGG